rnacentral:rRNA from 1 species
AUUGAACGCUGGCGGCAGGCCUAACACAUGCAAGUCGAGCGGAUGAAGGGAGCUUGCUCCUGGAUUCAGCGGCGGACGGGUGAGUAAUGCCUAGGAAUCUGCCUGGUAGUAGGGGAUAACGUCCGGAAACGGGCGCUAAUACCGCAUACGUCCUGAGGGAGAAAGUGGGGGAUCUUCGGACCUCACGCUAUCAGAUGAGCCUAGGUCGGAUUAGCUAGUUGGUGGGGUAAAGGCCUACCAAGGCGACGAUCCGUAACUGGUCUGAGAGGAUGAUCAGUCACACUGGAACUGAGACACGGUCCAGACUCCUACGGGAGGCAGCAGUGGGGAAUAUUGGACAAUGGGCGAAAGCCUGAUCCAGCCAUGCCGCGUGUGUGAAGAAGGUCUUCGGAUUGUAAAGCACUUUAAGUUGGGAGGAAGGGCAGUAAGUUAAUACCUUGCUGUUUUGACGUUACCAACAGAAUAAGCACCGGCUAACUUCGU